CCUACGGGGGGCAGCAGUGGGGAAUAUUGCACAAUGGGGGAAACUCUGAUGCAGCGACGCCGCGUGAGUGAAGAAGUAUUUCGGUAUUUAAAGCUCUAUCAGCAGGGAAGUAAAUGACGGUACCUGUCUCGGGAUCCCCGUCUAACUACGUUCCAGCAGCCGCGGUAAUACGUAGGCGGCCAGCGUUAUCCGGAUUUACUGGGUGUAAUGGGAGCGUAGUCGGCCAGACAAGUCAGAGGUGAAAUCCCAGGGCUCAACCCUGGGACUGCUUUUGAAACUGCCGGGCUGGAGAGUAGGCGAGGUAAGCGGAAUUCAUAGUGUAGCGGUGAAAUGCGUAGAUAUUAGGAGGAACACCAGUGGCGAAGGCGGCUUACUAAACUGUAACUGACGUUGAGGCUCGAAAGCGUGGGGAGCAAACAGGAUUAGAUACCCGAGUAGUC
rnacentral:rRNA from 1 species